UAGGGAAUCUUCCACAAUGGACGAAAAGUCUGAUGGAGCAACGCCGCGUGAGUGAAGAAGGGUUUCGGCUCGUAAAGCUCUGUUGGUAGUGAAGAAAGAUAGAGGUAGUAACUGGCCUUUAUUUGACGGUAAUUACUUAGAAAGUCACGGCUAACUACGUGCC
rnacentral:rRNA from 1 species